rnacentral:rRNA from 1 species
UACGUAGGGUGCAAGCGUUAAUCGGAAUUACUGGGCGUAAAGCGUGCGCAGGCGGCUUUGCAAGACAGAUGUUAAAUCCCCGGGCUUAACCUGGGAAUUGCAUUUGUGACUGCCCGGCUAGAGUGUGUCAGAGGGGGGUAGAAUUCCACGUGUAGCAGUGAAAUGCGUAGAUAUGUGGAGGAAUACCGAUGGCGAAGGCAGCCCCCUGGGAUAACACUGACGCUCAUGCACGAAAGCGUGGGGAGCAAACAGG